UACGGAGGAUCCAAGCGUUAUCCGGAAUCAUUGGGUUUAAAGGGCGCGUAGGCGGAUUGGUAAGUCAGUGGUGAAAUCUUUGGGCUUAACCCAGAAACUGCCAUUGAUACUGCUGAUCUAGAGUACAGUUGCCGUUGGCGGAAUAUAACAUGUAGUGGUGAAAUACUUAGAUAUGUCAUAGAACACCGAUUGCGAAGGCAGCUAACGAAGCUGUAACUGACGCUGAGGCUCGAAAGUGCGGGGAUCAAACAGG
rnacentral:rRNA from 1 species